AGUUAGCCGAUGCUUAUUCCUCAGGUAACGUCAUUGAUUUCCUCCCUGNGAAAAGAGGUUUACAACCCAUAGGCCGUCAUCCCUCACGCGGUAUUGCUCCGUCAGGCUUUCGCCCAUUGCGGAAAAUUCCCCA
rnacentral:rRNA from 1 species